UGGCGACGGGUGAGUAAUGUCUGGGAAACUGCCCGAUGAGGGGAUAACUACUGGAAACGGUAGCUAAUACCGCAUAACGUCGCAAGACCAAAGAGGGGGACCUUCGGGCCUCUUGCCAUCGGAUGUGCCCAGAUGGGAUUAGCUAGUAGGUGGGGUAACGGCUCACCUAGGCGACGAUCCCUAGCUGGUCUGAGAGGAUGACCAGCCACACUGGAACUGAGACACGGUCCAG
rnacentral:rRNA from 1 species